rnacentral:rRNA from 1 species
UACGGGGGGGGGCAAGCGUUGUUCGGAAUUACUGGGCGUAAAGGGCUCGUAGGCGGCCAACUAAGUCGGAUGUGAAAUCCCCAGGCUUAACCUGGGAACUGCAUCCGAUACUGGAUGGCUUGAAUCCGGGAGAGGGAUGCAGAAUUCCAGGUGUAGCGGUGAAAAUGCGUAGAUAUCUGGAGGAAUACCGGUGGCGAAGGCGGCAUCCUGG